rnacentral:rRNA from 1 species
GCGGAAGGAUCAUUAAAGAGACGUUGCCCUUCGGGGUAUACCUCCCACCCAUUGUUUAUUAUACCUUUGUUGCUUUGGCAGACCCGGCUUCGGCCCACCGGCUCCGGCUGGUCAGUGUCUGCCAGAGGACCUAAAACUCUGUUUGUUAAUAUUGUCUGAGUACUAUAUAAUAGUUAAAACUUUCAACAACGGAUCUCUUGGUUCUGGCAUCGAUGAAGAACGCAGCGAAAUGCGAUAAGUAAUGUGAAUUGCAGAAUUCAGUGAAUCAUCGAAUCUUUGAACGCACAUUGCGCCCUCUGGUAUUCCGGGGGGCAUGCCUGUUCGAGCGUCAUUACAACCCUCAAGCUUUGCUUGGUAUUGGACAUUGCCAGUUUCUGGCAGGUCUUAAAAUCAGUGGCGGUGCCAUUUGGCUUCAAGCGUAGUAAUUCUUCUCGCUUUGGAGAUCCAGGUGGUUACUUGCCAAUAACCCCCAAUUUUUUCAGGUUGACCUCGGAUCAGGUAGGGAUACCCGCUGAACUUAAGCAUAUCAAUAAGACGGAGGAAAGAUCAUUAAAGAGACGUUGCCCUUCGGGGUAUACCUCCACCAUUGUUUAUUAUACCUUUGUUGCUUUGGCAAACGGGUUCGUCCCCGGCUCGGCUGGUCAGUGUCUGCAGAGGACUAAAACUCUGUUUGUUAAUAUUGUCUGAGUACUAUAUAAUAGUUAAAACUUUCAA